rnacentral:ncRNA from 1 species
ACUGUGCACCUGCACGCUCAUGGUGUUGGUUGGCGGGCUUUCCAUUCGACCCGUCUUGAAACACGGACCAAGGAGUCUAACAUGUGUGCGAGUCGGUGGGUUUGUAAAUCUGCGAGGCGUAAGGAAGCUGACGGGCGAGAACCCCUCUCCAUGGGGUGCAUUGCCGACCGACCUUGAGCUUGUGCGAAGGGUUCGAGUGCGAGCACACCUGUUGGGACCCGAAAUAUGGUGAACUAUGCCUGAGCAGGGCGAAGCCAGAGGAAACUCUGGUGGAGGCCCGUAGCGAUACUGAUGUGAAAAUCGUUCGUCUGACUUGGGUAUAGGGGCGAAAGACUAAUCGAACCAUCUAGUAUCUGGUUUCCUCCGAAGUUUCCCUCGGGAUAGCUGGAGCUCAUGUGCGAGUUUUAUCGGGUAAAGCAAAUGAUUAGAGGCAUCGGGGGCGUAAUGCCCUCGACCUAUUCUCAAACUUUAAAUAGGUAAGACAGUGAGGCUGCUCCAUUGAGCCGUGCCAUGGAAUCGAGAGCUCCAAGUGGGCCAUUUUUGGUAAGCAGAACCGGCGAUGCGGGAUGAACCAAAAGUCGAGUUAUGGUGCCAAACUGCGCGCUAACCCAGAUCCCACAAAGGGUGUUGGUUGAUUAAGACAUCAGGACGGUGGUCAUGGAAGUCGAAAUCCGCUAAGGAGUGUGUAACAACUC